rnacentral:lncRNA from 1 species
AGAGUAAGACUAACAAUUCGGCUCGUUGUUCGUGAAUCAGUUUAUAUGUAAAUUUGAGAUCGAUCGCUCGUUUAAUAAAUGAGUCGAAAUUAUGAUAUGAGACAAGUUCAUUCCUGUUUAACUCGAUAUCGCUCUAAUAUAUAUAUAAAAUAAAUUUUUAACCAAAAAAUGGGAAGAAACUUAUAUUAUAUAAAUUUUAAUUAUUAAAUUAAGAUUCUAAUUUUUUAUUUUUUUAAAUUUUUUAUCAAGUAGUAAUGCUACGAAUUUAGCUUGUUGUUCGUGAGCUAAUUCGUGUUUGACUUAUUAAUGAACAAGCUGAAUACAAGUUAAAUUUUUUAACAUGAUAUUUCAACUGACUUGUUCAUGUUCGAAUCUUUUCUUUAUUUAUUUAUUUUUUUUGAGACAUAGAUAGCACGCUACCCGCUUCGUUUAUUUCAUUCAGAAAUAAACUUAGCUGGAAAUAUGAAUCAACUAGAAUUCGAAAUUGGAUCUCGGGUGCACUGAGUGCAGGUAAUAUUUGGG